rnacentral:rRNA from 1 species
CCUACGGGAGGCUGCAGUGGGGAAUAUUGCACAAUGGGGGAAACCCUGAUGCAGCGACGCCGCGUGAGUGAAGAAGUAAUUCGUUAUGUAAAGCUCUAUCAGCAGGGAAGAACAUGACGGUACCUGAGUAAGAAGCCCCGGCUAACUACGUGCCAGCAGCCGCGGUAAUACGUAGGGGGCACGCGUUAGCCGGAUUUACUGGGUGUAAAGUGAGCGUAGACGGCAGUGCAAGUCUGGAGUGAAAGGCGGGGGCUCAACCCCCGGACUGCUCUGGAAACUGGACGGCUGGAGUGCAGGAGAGGUAAGUGGAAUUCCUGGUGUAGGGGUGAAAUGCGUAGAUAUUAGGAGGAACACCAGUGGCGAAGGCGGCUUACUGGACUGUAACUGACGUUGAGGAGCGAAAGCGUGGGGAGCAAACAGGAUUAGAUACCCGGGUAGUC